GGGCACACAUAGAGGAAAGACCACCUGAGGACACAGGAGCUGGUGGGCGUCUGCAUGCUAGGGAGAGAGGCCUCAGGAGAAACCAACCCUGUGGACACCUUGAUGUCAGACCUCCAGCCUCCAGAACCAUGAGAGAGAAAUUUCCAUUGUUUACAAGCUCCCCGGUUGAUGUAUUUUGUAGGGCAGCUCUAGAAAAGUAACACAUUACCCAAAGACAGGUGUUGGCCCUCAUUUUUGCUUUUGGGAGAGUGAUUCUCACGAUUUAGGCAGACAGAGAAGUUUCCUUUUAAACCUAGUGCCUGGAACAGAAUUUUUUUAAACUUAGAAUUCCAUUGAUAAAAUUGAAGAUGAUUUGGUUGAAUUCAAAGUCGAGGCUGAAAAUAAUUAAAAUGGGAAAGCAUUAAAAAAAUGGUGAAGGCAAGAUUGAAAUUGUGGGAAAAGAUUAGCCCUGAGCUAACAUCUACUGCCAAUCCUCCUCCUCUUGCUGAGGAAGACCAGCCCUGAGCUCACAUCCGUGCCCAUCUACCUCCACUUCACAUGUGGGACACCUACCACAGCAUGGCCCGCCAAGCUGUGCCAUGUCCACACCCGGGAUCCGAACCAGUGAACCCUGGGCCACCGAAGCGGAACUGUGCGCACUUAACUGCUGCGCCACCAGGCCAGCCCCAGAAGAUUUCAUUUGAUCCUGCUUUUCUGGAGCAAUGCCACCAACUUCAUUUGUAAUGUGCUGCCUUUGUCUUUGGGUGGAAAAUGGUGGAAGAACAGAGGAGCAGGUGUCCUUUAUAUGCACAUAACCUCAUAAACUUCAAUUGAUUCGUUGCCACCUGUUAUCAAACGACACCUGCAUAACAGACUGCAGAUAACAAAAGAGGCAUUCAGGGGCAGACAACUACGGUUAUGCAAUUGAAAGUCAAGGUUGCAUCUUUGAGUCCACCUAGAUAGUUGUGGGCAUUUCCUUUUUUUUCCUCAAUAGUAAAUACAUUCAUAUGGUUCAUAAAUUUAAAAAUAUGAAAUGGUUUACAGUGAAAACUUUUUUGGGUCCCUUGACUGUGCAGUUUUCAUCUCCCAGCCCUUACCGGUCACUAAUUAGUUUGAUCAGUUUCAGGACUAUUCUUCCAGAAUUUCUUCAGGCAAAUACAAGUGUCUACGACCUCAUGUAUGUUUAAGCUGGGGAUCAUUUAAAGAACAACAUACCUAGUGGGAAUGAUCUUCUGCCGUUUUUCCUUUUUUGAUGGGGUGAUGACUGAGUUGGGAGAGAUCCCUGGACAUCUAGAAUGUCUAAAGAGGCAGCUGGUCACCAGCCACAGAGGAGGUCUAUGAGAAAUUGCUAAGGAAGCGAUGGAGGUCUGCCCUUUUUCUCUCAAUAUGCCUGAGGACUCUAGUUUAACUGACAGGAUUUCACAGCUUUGCCUUACACAAAUCAAUAUUAAUUUAUAGGUUACAUUUUAAAAGCCUUG
rnacentral:lncRNA from 1 species